rnacentral:tRNA from 2 species
AGAAACCAACCAUAGGAGAUGGAAUCCGCCCUGUGGAGGUGGAGGAUAUCAGACGUUCCAAUCGUCUGCUUUAUGC